AUUUAUAUAGUUUAAAAAAAAACAUUACAUUUUCAAUGUAAAAAUAUUUUAUUUUUUAUAAAUA
rnacentral:tRNA from 1 species